rnacentral:sRNA from 1 species
UUUUUCCAGUUCUGUGAAGAAAGUCAUUGGUAGCUUGAUGGGGAUGGCAUUGAAUCUAUAAAUUACCUUGGGCAGUAUGGCCAUUUUCAUGAUAUUGAUUCUUCCUAUCCAUGAGCAUGGAAUGUUCUUCCAUUUGGUUGUGUCCUCUUUUAUUUCAUUGAGCAGUGAUUUGUAGUUCUUGAAGAGGUCCUUCACGUCCCUUGUAAGUUGGAUUCCUAGGUAUUUUAUUCUCUUUGAAGCAUUUGUGAAUGGGAGUUCACUCAUGAUUUGGCUCUCUGUUUGUCUGUUAUUGGUGUAUAAGAAUGCUUGUGAUUUUUGCAUAUUGAUUUUGUAUCCUGAGACUUUGCUGAAGUUGCUUAUCAGCUUGAGGAGAUUUUGGGCUAAGACGAGCCUACUCUAAUUCUUUAAUCUAUGUAGUAGUUGCUUGUAUAUUAAACGUGUGAAAAUCAUGAAAUCAUUGUUAAUUCAUAUUGAAAUAUUCACUUACCUCUGAACUAUUUGAGCCAAGCUAAUAGGUAAGAAGUUUGAGACCAGCCUGGCCAACAUAGUGAAACCCUGUCUCUAGUAAAAAUUAGCCAGAUUGGUUGCAGGUGCCUGUAAUCCCAGCUACUUGGGAGGCUGAGGCAGGAGAAUCUCGAACCCAGGAAGUGGAGGUUGCCAUAAGCUGAGAUCGCAUCACUGGACUCCAGCCUGGAUGACAGAAUGAGACUCCAUCUCAAAAAAAAAAAAAAAAAAAAAAAAAAA